rnacentral:lncRNA from 1 species
AUCUUUUUGACAUUCUUAAUUUUAACCAAUAUAAAUAACUUAUAAUCAACCCAAAUUUAUUCACAGAUUUAUAAACUAAAUGGUCGUGUACAGAUAUAUCAGCAUAUACAAUUUCAUAUAUCCAGGAUGCGUCCUGAGUGCAUGGGAUAUUAAUUAAUUAGGUGUGGAAAUUAAGAAAGUGAUUGGUGUUACUUUUGCCUGCCUGCCUGCCACUUGCUCUCCGAGUCGAAGUAGACUCUUUUUCCCACUUAUAAAUAUUGGUCCUUAUUCGUCUUAAUUUCUUGUGCUACG